rnacentral:ncRNA from 10 species
ACCAUUCUUUUCUUGGGUUUGUGCUACUGUCCAAUGAGCGCAUAGUAAGGGCAGUACUGCUAACACAUACCAAAAAAAAAAAAAAUCAUAAAUAA